ACACAUCCAUAAUCCACACAAAUAUACAACAUAUGACACAUACCAUAACACAUACAUAUAGUACCCACCAUAACAUAUAUAUAUACAGCAUAUAACAUAAUUCAUAGCACAUUCAGCACACACCAUAACACAUCCAUAAUCCACACAUAACACAUAUAUACAGCAUAUGGCACACACCAUAACACAUACAUAUAUAUAGCACCCACCAUAAAAUACACACACACACACACACACACACAUAUAUAUAUACAACAUAUAACAUAAUCCAUAGCAUAUUCAUACAUCAUAUAACAUAACCCAUAUCCCAUCUAUAUAUAUAGCAUCAUAGCACAUCCAUGUCAUAAUAUUUGGCAUUACAACAUAAUAUUUGACAUUAUGAUAAAUGUCUUCAUGUCAAUAUCGUAGUCCAAAGAGCAUCCGUAUGGCAACCUACAAGAUGAAAUCAUACACAUAUGUCAAAUUUUGGCACACAAUAAAUAACAUAUUUUAGUUGAUUAAGAAAAUAAGAAAAAUUAUUUAAAAAUAAAAAUAGCAUUAGGUUCUCAUAUUUAGGAACUGAAGGGAGUAAUUACUAGCCAAAAAUAGCAUCAGGUUCUCAUAUUUAGGAACCAAAGGGAGUAGUUACUAGCUAAAAAUAGCAUCAGGUUCUCAUAUUUAGGAACCAAAUGGAGUAGUUACUAGAUAAAAAUAGCAUAGGUUCUCAUAUUUAGGAACCGAAGUGCUUGAUUUGAUCAUUCAGCCAGAUCCAUGUCACUGCAACUUGCAAAACACAUGGAAUAAUAGUCUAGUGGCUCCGCUCCCAGAUGCAACGUUCCCUAACAUGAACCACCAAUUAUUCAAUCACCAGUUCACAUGGGGAAGCAACAAGCAAGUAGCAGCAGGCCAACAGCAAUAGGCAAGCAGCAGCAAAUGAACAGCAUUGGGAAGCAACAAGCAAGCAGCAGAAGCACAUGAACAACACGCGGAAACAACUAGAGAGUAGAAGCAGCAACAAGGGUAGACGAACAUGGAAUGCGCAGCAGCAGCUCAACAAAAAAUCGAUUCAAGUGUGUGAAACAUCACAUGAAAAUAUAAGACUUUUUCGACACUACACCAGAGUAAAAAACUGUCUUAAUACGGACGGAGGGAGUACAUCCUUACUAUUCAAGUUGGCUCUCUUUUUACAUUGAAAUAUAGUUGAUAAAUAAUCUGUUUAAAAGUUUAGAGGUGGUCACUUUGAUCUAAUAGUUGCAGGUCUUCUACAUAUAGUAUACUCGUUGAAACUAAAGAUUUGAGGUUUUUUAGUUAUGCAAUAGAUAAUUCAGAGGCCAUUGUUUGUAUUGUGCAGUGCUAAAAGCAUUCCUACCAUACUGAGACAUGAACAAUAUCAAAGCAACGGGCGCGGCAUGCCGUCGCGCUUUUCCGCCUGCUAGUAAGUCUAAAAUGUGAUAUCAAUUGCAUAAAUAAAACAAUCAGGAUAUAAAUAAAAUAAUCAGGAUAUAAAUAUUUUGUGAAAACGUCUAAAAUGUGAAUGCAGGUGACUCAUCUAGUUCUAUGUAAAUUUAUAGCUUCAAGUGGUCUCUAAAUCAUGAAGAUCUCAAGUGGUCUCUAAAUCAUGAAGAUCUCAAGUGGUAUCUACUUGUAAAUGAGAUAUGGAGGCACUAACCAUACCAGAUCUCAAAGAUGUGGAGAACCAUCAAGGUUAUUGCCAACAAAGCUAGGACCAUGAGCAUGUGAAGAUCCAACAUUAUUUGAUUCAUGGGUCGAUGGAUGCUGCAUGAAGUAUUUACAUGGUUAAUUAGAAUGAAACUCGGACUAAGAGAUGCAAUAAUGAUCCUUGUAAAUAUUUCAGUUCACUAACCGUAGGACUACAUGAAUGAUAUAUUCAUGUUCCUUUCUGUGUUUACUGACCGAGUUUCCUAGAUCCCUAACUUAUUCAUUGCAAUAAUAAUUGGCUAACAUAGUUUAAAAAAACAUAAGUACAUUUUUUGGCACAAAAAUGUACUAUCAAUUGAUUUCAUAAUACUGUAAUUAAAUCUUAUGUGCUUACCAAAUCCAUUGUCUAAAACCUAGUGACCAAUAAUGUGGGGAAAACCCGUACCCAAGCUCUAUGUUGUUUGGGAACUCAUAAUGAUCUAAACAACUUCUUGGUUGACUAUUUCAGUCUUUGGGGUACUAUAACAGUUGAACUACCUCCUAGAAGGCAGCUUUUUGUAACCACCAGUACAUGUUUUUUUCUUGCGGAGUUAUUGUUCUGCCCUACUCAUCCCAAUUAUUCCUUGUCACGAGUAGCCAGCCCAACUCUCAGCUCACAACAAAUAAAAACAAUGGUGCUAUGUAUUUACCGGUUGCCGCUGGCCUUCAAGAUGGAUUGAUGGUUGCUCUCUAUUGCAUGUCUCAGGCAGCGGCACACUAUCAGUCUCGAGGUGCUGUCCCUAGUGGAUUUUGA
rnacentral:lncRNA from 1 species